rnacentral:tRNA from 1 species
CGGCGUGUAGCUCAGCAGCAGAGCACCGGACUCUGGAUCCGGAGGGCGCAGGGGCAGCACCUGCCACGUCGG